GAGAAAUAAACAAGAAAAUAGAGUUAAGUAUACUUAUGUUUGGUUAUCUUCGGAUAUCCAUUCGGGUUCGGAUAUUACCCGUUCGAAUUCAAAUAUUAUCUGAACUGGUGAAAUAAGUAAUUUGUUUUGUUGUUCUAAUUUGAUUAUUUUUAGACCGAGCUGGUGAAUAUAUACUAGACAAACAUUUAUAUUUUGAGUUUGCACUUAUAUUCUAUAACAUUUUGAUAUGUUAGAUUUGAACACUAACCUAUUAAUAUAGUUUGCCGGUGAUUUUUUUUCAAAAUUUUGAUUCUUAGAUAUGUAUAUGGAGUGAAACUAAUUUUUACAGAUGUACAUUUUUUAAAUUGACACUUAUGUAAUUCACUGAAUUCAUAAAAGAAGUUAAAAAAAAAACUUAACUCAUAUCAAUGAAACAAAGACGAGAACGAAAGUACAAUUCUAUAGAUGUAGAAAAUGAAAUCACUUACGGAGAGUCAAUAGUAAACAAAUCGAGUGCAGAAAACCUAAUCUCCUUUUGUCAUUAUACAAUUGAUGUUGCCUAUUUGGUUUUGGUGAUUUGUGUCUGCCGCAAAACUUAAUUUUCUUUUGUGUAUAUGAAGUCUUAAAAAUAAUUAAAAUGAGAUGCAAUACGUUAACUCUUCAACAACGAUGAUAUAUUUAAGAGACCAACAUUUGUAUUCAUCAUUUUAUAAUUGAUAAAGAUCGUAGUGUGGCAAAAUGUUAAAAUCAUUUCUUAAAUAAACAUUAUUAUAAAAACUCACCCCGGAUUAUCAUCUAGUUAUACUUUAUUUGAUGGCUAGUGAAGCCAAUUUCCCUAAAAAAAAAAGCCAAAGCCAUCCAUCACACCAAAUAUAUAAACUAGAUUUAUCGGAGAGAUGAUAGAAAAAGUGGUAAAAAAAUUAAAAAAAUAGCCAAAGCCAACUUAUGCAUCCACCUUCACGCUACAUAAGCUGAAAUCAAAACCUAAGUGCAAAAGACACAAUACUAUGCUUCUUGUCUAAAAGAUGUUUCUACUACACUUCUAAUGUCCCACAAUCCAAGUCCACCGCCCUAAGCUUUCCACUUUAAAUUACAUAUCCAUAAUUGAUAUGGAGAAAAGAUCGCAAGCCUAUCCUGAGGCCAAACUCAUCGCUUCCUCUUCUUAGCGGACUUGGUCUGACUUGCCUGCGACUUGCCUGAAAACAACUGAUUUCCCUUUUUAGAUGGUUCUGGUGCCUUCAGUGUCUCUUCUGAUGCAGACUCCACAACGCUCUCCUUGCCCCUGGAGGAAGGUGAAGAUUUUGCUUGCCUUUUGCUGCUUUGCCCUUGGCCGAUGAAGGUUUUGCAGGUCCUGACUUGGAUUUUGAAGACAUCAUUGUAGUCUUGGACGGCUCUUCUUUUUUCUUGGAUGAAGCUUUGGAUUUGCCAGAGUCUCCUUGGUCCUUUGAUGUUCCAGCUUUUGCAGGAGCAGCUUUAGACUUGCUGGAACCAGCUCCACCACCCCAAAUCAGAAGCAUUAUAAUUAACAAUCUUGUAGGACUUUUAACACUUUUUAAACUAUUUGCUUUCAGUUUCAUUUACUUUUUCCCUAACAAUUCCAUCUUUGAUUGCUUGCUUGUCUUAGCUUUCUUUCUCUGAGGCCUGCAUGGAGAAUUACCAAGCUUGGUCAUCCUCCUAAGAGUAGCAAAUUCAUCUAAAAACAACAUAUAGUUACUCUAUUCCAGUGCCACAUAACAUCGAAAAUAGAGAAGUAACACUUACUCUGUGGAAGCUUCUUCCUCAUACAAAAGAAUAUGUACAAUCAGUGGGUUAAUGGUUCACCACAAACAAAAGAGAAGAACAAAACAUAGUGUUAUUGAGGAAACUGAUAAAAUUGGGCUUACGAGAUGUUUCUUCUUAGCAGAAUCAUAUAAUUUGAUCACAGCUUUAAAAUACGUGCAGCAAAAAUCCAAUAUUCAUUUAUAAGCAUGGACAAACUACCGAAGGUGUUAGUCCAGUUCCAGCUAUCUACAGGAAAAAUACAUAGACUAGCGGAUUGCAUUGAUGUAAAUCAAAUAUAACUCCUAAGAUAAAAUACAAAAUGCUUACUCUUUAUCGAUAGGCAACCAGACUCUGACCCUCACCCAACUAAGUUUCCAGCAUGGCUUUGGAUAUCAGAUGCCUGCCAAGGGAAAAUGAUGUAGAAGUCGGAUAACCAGACUGAGAUAAACGAUAUAACAAAAUAACAUGUUAAGGAAAUUGACGAUUUGUAAAGCGAAUACAAGAACGAUAAGAAAUCGUAUUCGCAAAUAAA